GAUGAACGCUGGCGGCGUGCCUAAUACAUGCAAGUCGAGCGAACAGACGAGGAGCUUGCUCCUCUGACGUUAGCGGCGGACGGGUGAUUAACACGUGGAUAACCGACCUAUAAGACUGGGAUAACUUCGGGAAACCGGAGCUAAUACCGGAUAAUAUAUUGAACCGCAUGGUUCAAUAGUGAAAGACGGUUUUGCUGUCACUUAUAGAUGGAUCCGCGCCGCAUUAGCUAGUUGGUAAGGUAACGGCUUACCAAGGCAACGAUGCGUAGCCGACCUGAGAGGGUGAUCGGCCACACUGGAACUGAGACACGGUCCAGACUCCUACGGGAGGCAGCAGUGGGGAAUCUUGCGCAAUGGGCGAAAGCCUGACGGAGCAACGCCGCGUGAGUGAUGAAGGUCUUCGGAUCGUAAAACUCUGUUAUUAGGGAAGAACAAAUGUGUAAGUAACUAUGGACGUCUUGACGGUACCUAAUCAGAAAGCCACGGCUAACUACGUG
rnacentral:rRNA from 1 species